CAGAUGUGAAGCAGCUUCUUGAUCUUGUGAAGAGUCCAGACUGUAGACUGGAGACUCUGAGCUGGGAGUCAUUGUUCUAAACAGGACGGUAUGUGAGCUGAGAGAGGAUGAGCUGAGUCCUGAUGAUCCAGAGGUUGAAUCAGCAGCAGCUUGUGUGUAGAGAGACUCUGACUGGACCAUGUUACUGGGAGGUGGAGUCAAGAGGAGAACUUCAUCCACAUGUUUCUCAUUUAACAUCAUCAACAGAGCUGCAAUCAAUCUAUUCUAACAGAACCAACAAAUAAAGUCCAGUUCCUCUUGAAUUUUCACCUCUAGAUGGAGCCAAAUCUCCACCAAAGACCUUCAUGGAGUCAGGGCUGAAUAUAUAUUAUUAUUAUAUUAUUAAAUAACAGUAUACGUGUGUUUUAACAUCUAGCACUUCAGCUAAAACAGUUCUUCUACAUGGGAAGCGUGUUGCUUUGUGUAUUUCUUUUACUUUGUGUCAGGAAACAUUGAAAAUACCACAUAAAAUAUAAAGUAAAAGUGGGAACAUUCUAAUAUUAAAGAGUAAUUAAUAGAUGUCAGAGUACAGGAAGUCUGACAUUUUUCUGAGAAAUGUUUUUUGCAAUUUCUAUGUUUUCAGUAAAAUAAAAACAUAAAAAUUGUAAAGAGUA